GGAGGAGGAGAGCUCUCCGCCCAGCGCUGGAAAAAGGUAAGUUAUUACCCCUUUCCCCCUUCCAGAGCCGGGCGGGAGGGAGACCCUGAGGGUGGGGGCACCCUCAGGGCACUAUAGUGCCAGGAAAACGAGUAUGUUUUCCUGGCACUAUAGUGGUCCUUUAAGGCAUCAAAGAGAAGGUUCAGCUAAAUGAGUUUACAAAAACCCUUUUUAUAAACACAUGUUUAACAUAAUGGCUCUGAGGUCUGCUUAGAAUAUUUUUGGCUAUGGUUUUUUGGUAUCCUAAUCAUCAGUUAGCAGUCAUUGUAGAUUACGCCCCUACAACACUUCCCAUUUUUGCUCAUAUCUAAGGGAACACAUAAUUACAAGAAAAAAUCUGUGUUAAAUCAUCUAGAUUUCCCUAUUAGUUACCAAUCCAUGACCCAAUCCAAGACUAGAAUGGUGACGUUAAUAGACCAUUUAGUUACCUUACAACUAUUAAACAAGCAAAGUGAUGGGAAAGGUAACUUUAUCAAAUUAACAAGUUUAAUUAACGAUGUGAAAUAUAUAAUAAUAAAUGUUUAUGCACACAAUCAAGGCCAAAUUCAAUUCUUCAUGAAUUUAUUUGUAAAGUUUAUGAAACAGAACAAAAUAUGAUAAUUUCCUGUGAGGACUUUAACCUCUUAUGAGAUCCCUCAUUAGACACCUUUGCACAACCCAACCCACGCUAUCUGUCAUGCCUUCACUCACUAGGUAAUAACCUUACAACAUUAUGGCAUACUUAUCCGGUGGCAUUUAAUAGAAAUCUAAAAACCCAAUCCGUCAAAAUGAUUCUUUUUAAUCCCAUAGAUAACACACCUAUUCCUGUCUGCACUAUUUCAUGCUGGACAGAACAACCUUACAAAAUGUAACAUAAAUCUGUAAUGGGUCACCAAUCCUGGUCAGACCAUGCUGUGCUCAUCCUGUCCAUUGCAGUCACAUCCAUUCAGGGGAAAGGGAGUUUGGAGAUCCAAUGAGUCUCUCUUGGCACAGAUGGAGACAUGACAAACUAUAAAAAAAAAUUAGAAGAGUGCUUUAACCAAAAUACUUCACCAGAACUCUCUCCAACAAGCCUUUGGCUGGCCCAUAUGGCAGUAAUGCAAGGAGAAUGACUCAAAUUAGCGUCUCACAAAAAGAGGAAAAGACACUUAAUGAGGUAGACACCCUACACAAACAAACUCCAUCCAAGACUUCUCUUAGCCCAAAUCAAACAAACUAUUAGCGAGAUACAACUAUACCAAACAGAACAAUAGUUACAUUGCUUAAAAUAAUCUUAUAAUGCAUAGUCCAACAAAACAGGAUUCAUUCUAGCCAGAAAAUUAAAAGAAAAAAAAGUGACAACUACCGUACUAUUCAUAUACUCUGCUUCUGGGCAGAACCUGCUCAGCCCAGUAAAGAUAGCGGAGGAAUUUACAGAUUAUAAAGGGAGGCGUAAAAGUAGGUUAUCAGACUCGAGAACCCCUCAGUCACACCGGAAAAUUAUAAAAAAUGAAAAAAAUACUUCCUAGUCACAUUAGACUUUACAUGUCUCAUCUCAAAGCAAAUAGGUACUCUCUCAGCAGGAGUCAUUAAAGAUGAAACAGAGACUGUGAUAAGCCAACUACCGAAACACAAAAGCUUGGGGCCAGACAGGUUCUCAGGGAUCUAGUAUCAAACUAUGCUUAUCAGGUACCACAGGGUACACAUGCGCAUAAUAUCCCCCUGUUAACACCCAGUUAAAAACAAAUUGUUUGCCAGAACGUUUGACCUAUAUCACUUUUCAAUGUGGACACGGAAAUGUAUGCAAAGGUCCUGGCAAAACUUCUCUAAACCUUCCUCCCCUCAAUCAUACAUACGGAUCAGUUCGACAUUAAGGAAAGGAAGGCAGGCAUCGGACAAAACUCGCAAAUUUUCAAAAAAUUUUCAACAUGCCUAUACAUCUCAUAUUCCAAAACCUUCUCUUCUCAGUAGAUUCAGAGCAUUUGAUUGAGUCCACUGGGCAGACAAUCAGCGGUUAAGAUGACAAUUAUACCCAAACUUUUAUAUUUACUAAGAACAUUUCCAAGCAAUAAUUUAAGUUACUCUUUGCACAUGAUCAAGGU